rnacentral:lncRNA from 1 species
GUCACCUGCACUUCUGUCUGCAAUCAAGCAAGUAGUUUAAUUGGGCAAUGGCAGAGCCUUGCAGGAUAUCCUAAUGAGCCUAAUUGGUAGUGGGAAUCUGAGUCCCUGGAGAAUAGAGAUAGAAAGAAACCAGCAGACAAAGAGACAGGUAUUUUACUGAAAAGCUGCAAAAAUAGCCUGAGUUCCACAAAGCCGUUUUUAUGCUGAUUUCCUUCUGCUUCUGAUGGACCCUAUUUGCUGUAUAUGCUGCUCCUGUUGCUUCUCUUGCUUUCUUAGCUUCCCAGACAGUCAGUGGCAUUUGUUUCUGAUAGUUUGCAUUAGUGUCAAAGAGUCUGAGACCAGCAGCAGGUAGAUUAGUGAGGCUAUCCUCCUGUGGGCAGAGUUUUGGCACUGCAGCUGACCAAGAUUUUUGCAGAUGUAGAGCCUACCAGAAUGCUUUGAACAGACAUAGCUGUGUCCAUAUCAAAAGAGCACUGAUGGUAGGAUGCUCAAAUAAUUUCCAAACAGGUACUACCAUCUCCUUGAGGAAUUUGAGAAAGAUUCUGAAAUUGAAUAUGGAGGAAUCAGCACAGGGACCAGGAAGAUCACCUAAAUUUACUUACUUAAAUGUGUGCCAGUGCUUGCUGUGUCAUCAAAACAAGAGAACAGUGGUUUCACUAUAG